GCCAGUGUGGCGGAGUGGUCUGAGUGUUGGACUAUAACUCUGGAAACCAGGGUUCAAUUCCCAGCUCAGCCA